UACGUAGGGUGCGAGCGUUAAUCGGAAUUACUGGGCGUAAAGUGUGCGCAGGCGGCCGCGCAAGUCGAGUGUGAAAGCCCCGGGCUUAACUUGGGAAUUGCGCUCGAAACUACGUGGCUGGAGUAUGGCAGAGGAAGGUGGAAUUCCACGUGUAGCGGUGAAAUGCGUAGAGAUGUGGAGGAACACCGAUGGCGAAGGCAGUCUUCUGGGCCAAUACUGACGCUCAUGCACGAAAGCGUGGGGAGCAAACAGG
rnacentral:rRNA from 1 species